rnacentral:rRNA from 1 species
UACGGAGGGCGCAAGCGUUGUUCGGAAUCAUUGGGCGUAAAGCGCGUGUAGGCGGCUUGGCAAGUCGAGUGUGAAAGCCCGGGGCUCAACCCCGGAAGGUCGCUCGAAACUGCCUCGCUCGAGUCCCGGAGAGGAAGGCGGAAUUCCCGGUGUAGAGGUGAAAUUCGUAGAUAUCGGGAGGAACACCAGCGGCGAAGGCGGCCUUCUGGACGGUGACUGACGCUGAGACGCGAAAGCGUGGGGAGCAAACAGG